UCAGGGGAGGGGCAUGGGCAAGAUGGCUGCCUCCCGUGGAUUUGGCAGGAGUCUGGGACUGGAGGCUGAACCUAACCUCUUCCCUCCAGAGCUGACCCGCUUUGCAUCCUAGAGGAGAUGUCACUUUUCCCGUCCUUCUCCUUUCCCUGGGCAAUUUAGAGGGGAGAAAUCGUAAAGUUUUCUUGAAGUUGCUGAUCACAUGUAAGGAGGAGAGAUUGCAGCUCAAGGGAAGAUCCUUGGGAAUCAGGGUUCAGAGGGAGAAGAAGAGAACUAGGGAGAAGAUGGAAGCCUUCCAAGCCUGCAGGGUGAGGACAUCCACACCGGUUUUUGAGGAAGAGCUCAGCUUGGGCGAAUAACACUGGCACGGAGACAGAACUUUGGUUGAGGUCGGGCAAAAGUACUUGAUCGUGGGAGACAGAUUAAGAGCCUGCUAACCACCACCCCACAUUGGAACAGAACCAGCCUCAAGGUGACUUUGUAAUGCUCCACCCAACUGCCCUGUGAAGGAAGCACCUUUAAUUCUCUCUGGUUCCAGAGCCUGGGGUGGUGUUGUAGCUGUGGAAAUGCGCGUCUUGUGCAGGCAGGACAUUUAAUGCUGGCAUUAAGAUGUUGAGUUCAGAUUGUUCUAUCUGCCGAUACGUGACCCGGAGCUAUCUUAAAUCCUUUUGGAAUGAGGUAGGGUACACACUCAAAAAAUGUACAUGUCUGUACAAGUGGAUACAUUUCUCCAAGUAGCCUUAACAAAUGUGUGUGUUUUUUUCUUUAAUCAGAUCUUUUAUUUACAUAUUGCAACUAAAUCAUCAAAAGACUUUCAGUGGCUUGCUGGGAUGCACGUCUGAAAGCAGCUCGAUGCUUUGGCUUUAUGUAUGUUUAUCGGCUCUGUGUAAUUUUUUACAUAUGCUGUCUCUCUCCUCAAAAUGACUGCUUCAAGAAAACUGAAAGAACAGUGACAGUGGCGAGGGGCUGGAACAUACGGGUUGUUUGGUGAAAACAAAAAAUGACAUUUUUUUUUUAAAGUUUAUUUAUUUUUGAGACAGAGAGAGACAGAGUAUGAACGGGGGAGGGUCAGAGAGAGAGGAAGACACAGAAUCCGAAGCAGGCUCCAGGCUCUGAGCUGUCAGCACAGAGCCCGACACGGGGCUCGAACUCACAGACCGUGAGAUCAUGACCUGAGCCGAAGUCGGACGCUUAACCAACUGAGUCACCCAGGCGCCCCAACAAAAUGCCAUUUUUAACGAAGACAGGUACCUCCCCCCCCCCACCCCCCGCCUUGACGCUGAAAUUAUUCAUGGGCUGCUUUGUACCUGACAGAAAAAGAGCUGUACUCUCAGAAAAGGAGCUGGGGACAGAAGGAAGCAUGGAAAACACGUGGGCUUGUCAAAAAAGAUGAGUAGUGGCCCAACGUGGGUCUGCUGGGAGUGCCACGGUGAGGGAGCUGGGGUACAGACGUGCCUGUCUGGCACCCCCAUCCGUCCCCCUGUCCCAAGGCUGGCCUGACCCGGGACAGCUGGGUUUGGCACCCUCAGGUGGGUGACUGCCCUGAAUGGUUGGGAGGGAGGUGACAAGUACCUCAAGGGCCGCAGAUCACAGCAGGAUGUAUCAGAAAGCCCAGGUGUUCUGGGCACACUGUGGGUGGACUGUGUCCAGACUCUGAGAAUGCCGACUUUUCCUUCACAUCGCCUUGCUACUUUACUGCUCCGCAAAGCCCCAGCAUUUUGCCAUUAUCUUACACUGCCUUUGGCCGCCCUGAAAUGAUGGAGGGGACGUGGAGAGAACAGGGGACUUGGAGCCAGAGAACUGGGUUAUACAUCUGGCUCUGCUAGUACUGCCCUCGGACGAGGUGAUUAAACUCUCCGGCAACAGCGUCUUGAUCCGUCAAAGGUAGAGAGAAUGGGCCGCAAGGCCCAGUGUUCGGUGAGGAACUUAAGAGAUGAUGUGGCCCACGGACACAGGGGCGGGUCUGGAGAGCCGGGUAGGCACGCAUCAGCCGUGGGAACCUCAGGUGGUGGGAACUGUGCGCUGUCUCCCCCGCUCGCCCCUCCUCCACCCCAGGGUCCACAUUCACGUGCUGCUGCCCGGUUCCAUCCCUGUCUGCCUGCAAGCUUCCGCAGAGCCCGGGAAGUUGACGUCCUCUCUGCCCUCACUGUUGACAAGGCAAAGGCAUUCCCCUCAUCAAUGCUAGCAAAGAAUGAGAGAUGCCGCAUAAUAUCAGGAAGCAUAUUUAUCGCUGUCAUCGACGUUGUAAAAAACUUUACAAAGGUCCACUGUGUUAAUGAUCCCACCCACAUCUGUUGCUGGAGAAGAAGUUAAGGUACCCCCCAAUGACACCUAUUGUAAGAGAGGAAGCAAACUGAUGCCACAGAGUGACUACUGUGUUUGCUGGGUCUCCUUUCUAGAUGCUGUUGGAGCAGCGUGUGAUUGGCAUGAUGCCUGAUCUCAGUAAAAUGGGGAGAGAAAUAAAGUUCAUCAAUAAUCCCAGAACCUUUCUUCUCCUUCAGCCUUUCCCAAGAAACCUUUGUGGAAAAGGGCUAAGCACUGCCCGCGUUGAGGGACCGACCCCUCUCUUGACUCAGUGUCCAAGGAAGGGGCAAGGAGAGCGUGCCAGAGGGGAGAGGUGGGGGAGGCCCGUGUUGGACAAACUCAAAGCCUGAAGUAGAGAAGGCAGACAAAAGUGGAUGACCGCGGGAGUCCCUGUGCAUUCCACUGCUGACUCGUCUCCCACACGUACCGCCGGAGGUCACCCCACCCCCAUGCUUGAGGGCUCAGCAGCCGGGACAGUGGAUGUCCCUGUGGAUGGCUGUAGAGACUUAGCUGGGGUCUCUCUCCACCCCAGAUCUGGCCAAAGUGGCGCUCUGAUCCUAUUUAGCCACCACUCUGUGACUACGUGACAUUUAACAGAAGACUGAGGUCUGCCUUUUGAGCCACUUUCUUCCCCAGUCUCUGGUUAAAAGACAUUAAGUCUCAAAUAAAAGUCACUCCGGACCGCGGAAGGGCUUGUUCACACAUUCACAGCUCUGAGUCGGACCAGGCUUAUUACUUGAAUUUUUAAAUGCCAAAGAGACAGAGGGGCCCACAGGGUCGCGCUGGCAUUCCAAGUCUCUUUGGCCAUUAGGACCCGCUGUCUCCUGGAGCUGGAACAAAAAAGAUCUUGGAGACCUGGUGCCCGGAUGAUCACAGAGCAAGGAUAAAAGCCCCCCAGCUGGAGCCUCCUUCCCGUUUCCUGUGUGGCCCAUACUGGAAACACAUUGGAGCUAUUUUCCCUUUUAAAGACGCUGUUUUACGUUUCGUCUUUCAAGAUGUCCUUGUUUCUGCAUCACAGCAUCUUUGCAUACCAACUCAAUGUGUUUUAUGUUCAUCUGGAGAGAGCUCUCCUCCCUUCCCCUUCUAAGGAAUAAAAGGGGAGAUGCAGGCUCAGGGGAUAAAGCAGCUUCAGGAGUGCAUGGGGUUUGGGGAGAACAGAAUGAAACUCUGGCUAAUUUGGCCCAUCCCAUCUCAGAAAACCAGAACCCUAUGAAUUAUUUACGAUUCUCCUGACCCCACAGAAAUGCAGAUUGUGGUUCUUGCCAAGGACAAAUUAGGCUUGUCUGCAUCUGUUACUGUUCUCAAUCAAGCGACUGCCUCCUGUGAGGAAGGAGAGAGGUCAGCAGCCAGGACAAAGGAUCAGUCCAAGAGAAGGGGAAGAUAAGGCUGCAUUCCAGAGCUUCUACUGGAAAAGCUGCUCAUUGGAAGCACAAUCAAAUCUUUUUUCAAAAUCCAGAACAAGCACCGGGUUGCAUUUGUGUGUCUAAAAAAUCAGAAUAGCAGUGCCAUUGGGGACCUUUCAAAUGUUUAACUUUUAUCUUGCUUCAGGGGGUAUGCAUAACUUCAGGGCAAGUAUUGACUAGUUUUGGCUCAGGGGACCAUGACCUUCUUUCCCCAAAGCGAGGACCUCUCUAUGCUGCAGCACUGGAGACUGUUAGGAUUGUAUCCCUCUGAGCCGGCUCUGCAACUUUUCCCUGUACCCUUGCCUGUACAUAGCAGGUUGUUAUCGUUGGCUCCAAAUGAGCUUUGGAAGAGAGCUCCAGGCUCCCCUCCUCCCACUCAACCCCCAAGACAGGGGCCCCCUGGAGUGGGAUCAAGGAAUAAAAGAGCUUUGGGAGAACACGGGUGGGCCCUGGUGGUAGGAGCAUUUGGAACUUUCCACGGCAGGAAUAAAAAGACAAAAAACC